UCUCUCUCUCUCUCUUUCUCUCUCAACUCUUCCAUUCAUCGCCGGAAACCUUCUCUCUCUCUCAACUCUUCCAUUCAUCACCGGAACCCUUCCAUCCAUUGCACCAUCCAUCACAAUGCUUCCAUCCAUCGCACCACACCACUAAAAUCCAAGAGCCUGUGAACAAAAGUCUCCGGAAAACUUCGUCCGGCGAGGGCAUUUCCAUCAAAAUCUAGGAUUAUCAGAGCCUUUCAAGUUGAAGAGCAAAAGAUUGUAUGAAAAUUGUAACAAGUGGCUGUUGUACUUCUUUCAAACUUGUUGUAUUUCACUUUCUUUUUCAUUACUUUGCCAGUAGUUCCAUCAAACUUAGAGAGCCUUUGACAUAUGGUUACAGAUUUGUUCAUUUUGGAUCCAUGGUCAAGUGCUUUUGCGGGGCCUCAAACUGCCAAGGUUUUUUAGGAAGCAAGAGAAAGAACAAUGAGAUAACCAUGCCCUGGGGAUGCAAACGACCAAGAACAGCAAUCAAAGUAAAAGUUUUUCAGAAAUAAAGUGUUUGGAGUAUCAAAAAUUUGAGAAUGUGGCAUUUACCUUGACACCUGCACUUGCAGUUAUAUGAU